UUAAGCGACUAAGCGUACACGGUGGAUGCCCUGGCAGUCAGAGGCGAUGAAGGACGUGCUAAUCUGCGAUAAGCGUCGGUGAGGUGAUAUGAACCGUUAUAACCGGCGAUUUCCGAAUGGGGAAACCCAGUGUGUUUCGACACACUAUCAUUAACUGAAUCCAUAGGUUAAUGAGGCGAACCGGGGGAACUGAAACAUCUAAGUACCCCGAGGAAAAGAAAUCAACCGAGAUUCCCCCAGUAGCGGCGAGCGAACGGGGAGGAGCCCAGAGCCUGAAUCAGUGUGUGUGUUAGUGGAAGCGUCUGGAAAGGCGCGCGAUACAGGGUGACAGCCCCGUACACAAAAAUGCACAUAUUGUGAGCUCGAUGAGUAGGGCGGGACACGUGGUAUCCUGUCUGAAUAUGGGGGGACCAUCCUCCAAGGCUAAAUACUCCUGACUGACCGAUAGUGAACCAGUACCGUGAGGGAAAGGCGAAAAGAACCCCGGCGAGGGGAGUGAAAAAGAACCUGAAACCGUGUACGUACAAGCAGUGGGAGCCUCUUAAUGGGGUGACUGCGUACCUUUUGUAUAAUGGGUCAGCGACUUAUAUUCUGUAGCAAGGUUAACCGAAUAGGGGAGCCGAAGGGAAACCGAGUCUUAACUGGGCGUUAAGUUGCAGGGUAUAGACCCGAAACCCGGUGAUCUAGCCAUGGGCAGGUUGAAGGUUGGGUAACACUAACUGGAGGACUGAACCGACUAAUGUUGAAAAAUUAGCGGAUGACUUGUGGCUGGGGGUGAAAGGCCAAUCAAACCGGGAGAUAGCUGGUUCUCCCCGAAAGCUAUUUAGGUAGCGCCUCGUGAAUUCAUCUCCGGGGGUAGAGCACUGUUUCGGCAAGGGGGUCAUCCCGACUUACCAACCCGAUGCAAACUGCGAAUACCGGAGAAUGUUAUCACGGGAGACACACGGCGGGUGCUAACGUCCGUCGUGAAGAGGGAAACAACCCAGACCGCCAGCUAAGGUCCCAAAGUCAUGGUUAAGUGGGAAACGAUGUGGGAAGGCCCAGACAGCCAGGAUGUUGGCUUAGAAGCAGCCAUCAUUUAAAGAAAGCGUAAUAGCUCACUGGUCGAGUCGGCCUGCGCGGAAGAUGUAACGGGGCUAAACCAUGCACCGAAGCUGCGGCAGCGACACUAUGUGUUGUUGGGUAGGGGAGCGUUCUGUAAGCCUGUGAAGGUGUACUGUGAGGUAUGCUGGAGGUAUCAGAAGUGCGAAUGCUGACAUAAGUAACGAUAAAGCGGGUGAAAAGCCCGCUCGCCGGAAGACCAAGGGUUCCUGUCCAACGUUAAUCGGGGCAGGGUGAGUCGACCCCUAAGGCGAGGCCGAAAGGCGUAGUCGAUGGGAAACAGGUUAAUAUUCCUGUACUUGGUGUUACUGCGAAGGGGGGACGGAGAAGGCUAUGUUGGCCGGGCGACGGUUGUCCCGGUUUAAGCGUGUAGGCUGGUUUUCCAGGCAAAUCCGGAAAAUCAAGGCUGAGGCGUGAUGACGAGGCACUACGGUGCUGAAGCGACAAAUGCCCUGCUUCCAGGAAAAGCCUCUAAGCAUCAGGUAACAUCAAAUCGUACCCCAAACCGACACAGGUGGUCAGGUAGAGAAUACCAAGGCGCUUGAGAGAACUCGGGUGAAGGAACUAGGCAAAAUGGUGCCGUAACUUCGGGAGAAGGCACGCUGAUAUGUAGGUGAAGCGACUUGCUCGUGGAGCUGAAAUCAGUCGAAGAUACCAGCUGGCUGCAACUGUUUAUUAAAAACACAGCACUGUGCAAACACGAAAGUGGACGUAUACGGUGUGACGCCUGCCCGGUGCCGGAAGGUUAAUUGAUGGGGUUAGCGGUAACGCGAAGCUCUUGAUCGAAGCCCCGGUAAACGGCGGCCGUAACUAUAACGGUCCUAAGGUAGCGAAAUUCCUUGUCGGGUAAGUUCCGACCUGCACGAAUGGCGUAAUGAUGGCCAGGCUGUCUCCACCCGAGACUCAGUGAAAUUGAACUCGCUGUGAAGAUGCAGUGUACCCGCGGCAAGACGGAAAGACCCCGUGAACCUUUACUAUAGCUUGACACUGAACAUUGAGCCUUGAUGUGUAGGAUAGGUGGGAGGCUUUGAAGUGUGGACGCCAGUCUGCAUGGAGCCGACCUUGAAAUACCACCCUUUAAUGUUUGAUGUUCUAACGUGGGCCCCUUACCGGGGUUGCGGACAGUGUCUGGUGGGUAGUUUGACUGGGGCGGUCUCCUCCUAAAGAGUAACGGAGGAGCACGAAGGUUGGCUAAUCCUGGUCGGACAUCAGGAGGUUAGUGCAAUGGCAUAAGCCAGCUUGACUGCGAGCGUGACGGCGCGAGCAGGUGCGAAAGCAGGUCAUAGUGAUCCGGUGGUUCUGAAUGGAAGGGCCAUCGCUCAACGGAUAAAAGGUACUCCGGGGAUAACAGGCUGAUACCGCCCAAGAGUUCAUAUCGACGGCGGUGUUUGGCACCUCGAUGUCGGCUCAUCACAUCCUGGGGCUGAAGUAGGUCCCAAGGGUAUGGCUGUUCGCCAUUUAAAGUGGUACGCGAGCUGGGUUUAGAACGUCGUGAGACAGUUCGGUCCCUAUCUGCCGUGGGCGCUGGAGAACUGAGGGGGGCUGCUCCUAGUACGAGAGGACCGGAGUGGACGCAUCACUGGUGUUCGGGUUGUCAUGCCAAUGGCACUGCCCGGUAGCUAAAUGCGGAAGAGAUAAGUGCUGAAAGCAUCUAAGCACGAAACUUGCCCCGAGAUGAGUUCUCCCUGACUCCUUGAGAGUCCUGAAGGAACGUUGAAGACGACGACGUUGAUAGGCCGGGUGUGUAAGCGCAGCGAUGCGUUGAGCUAACCGGUACUAAUGAACCGUGAGGCUUAACCUU
rnacentral:rRNA from 1 species